rnacentral:pre_miRNA from 1 species
AAUUUCAUCUGAAAAAGUCAUCAAUAAGAAAAUUGUAUAACUCAUCAAGAUCUAUAACUUCUAUUUUGGUCAUUUCUUCAUCCGAUGAAGAAAUUUAUAAGAUUGUUCAUAAAAUGUACAUCUCUUAUAUAGUUCUGAUAAAGUGAUUUGUAAGGUUGUUCACAAAAUGUACAUCUCUUAUAUCUAUAUAAGAGAGGUACAUUUUGUGAACAAUCUUACAAAUCACUUUAUCGGAUGAAGAAAUGACUAAAAUAGAAGUUAUAGAUCUUGAUGAGUUAUACAACUUUCUUAUUGAUGACUUUUUCAGUUGAAAUC